AUUGAACGCUGGCGGCAGGCUUAACACAUGCAAGUCGAGCGGGGGAAGGUAGCUUGCUACCGGACCUAGCGGCGGACGGGUGAGUAAUGCUUAGGAAUCUGCCUAUUAGUGGGGGACGACAUCUCGAAAGGGAUGCUAAUACCGCAUACGUCCUACGGGAGAAAGCAGGGGAUCUUCGGACCUUGCGCUAAUAGAUGAGCCAAAGUCGGAUUAGCUAGUUGGUGGGGUAAAGGCCUACCAAGGCGACGAUCUGUAGCGGGUCGGAGAGGAUGACCCGCCACACUGGGACUGAGACACGGCCCAGACUCCUACGGGAGGCAGCAGUGGGGAAUAUUGGACAAUGGGGGGAACCCUGAUCCAGCCAUGCCGCGUGUGUGAAGAAGGCCUUAUGGUUGUAAAGCACUUUAAGCGAGGAGGAGGCUACUUUAGUUAAUACCUAGAGAUAGUGGACGUUACUCGCAGAAUAAGCACCGGCUAACUCUGUGCCAGCCGCCGCCGUAA
rnacentral:rRNA from 1 species